AAAGGUCUCGUAGGUGACCUGCGGAGGGAUCAUUACACAAAUAUGAAGGCGGGCUGGAACCUCUCGGGGUUACAGCCUUGCUGAAUUAUUCACCCUUGUCUUUUGCGUACUUCUUGUUUCCUUGGUGGGUUCGCCCACCACUAGGACAAACAUAAACCUUUUGUAAUUGCAAUCAGCGUCAGUAACAAAUUAAUAAUUACAACUUUCAACAACGGAUCUCUUGGUUCUGGCAUCGAUGAAGAACGCAGCGAAAUGCGAUAAGUAGUGUGAAUUGCAGAAUUCAGUGAAUCAUCGAAUCUUUGAACGCACAUUGCGCCCUUUGGUAUUCCAAAGGGCAUGCCUGUUCGAGCGUCAUUUGUACCCUCAAGCUUUGCUUGGUGUUGGGCGUCUUGUCUCUAGCUUUGCUGGAGACUCGCCUUAAAGUAAUUGGCAGCCGGCCUACUGGUUUCGGAGCGCAGCACAAGUCGCACUCUCUAUCAGCAAAGGUCUAGCAUCCAUUAAGCCUUUUUUUUCAACUUUUGACCUCGGAUCAGGUAGGGAUACCCGCUGAACUUAA
rnacentral:rRNA from 1 species